AGAGUUUGAUCAUGGCUCAGAGCGAACGCUGGCGGCAGGCUUAACACAUGCAAGUCGAGCGGGUGUAGCAAUACAUCAGCGGCAGACGGGUGAGUAACGCGUGGGAACAUACCUUUUGGUUCGGAACAACCCAGGGAAACUUGGGCUAAUACCGGAUAAGCCCUUACGGGGAAAGAUUUAUCGCCGAAAGAUUGGCCCGCGUCUGAUUAGCUAGUUGGUGAGGUAAUGGCUCACCAAGGCGACGAUCAGUAGCUGGUCUGAGAGGAUGAUCAGCCACAUUGGGACUGAGACACGGCCCAAACUCCUACGGGAGGCAGCAGUGGGGAAUAUUGGACAAUGGGGGCAACCCUGAUCCAGCCAUGCCGCGUGAGUGAUGAAGGCCCUAGGGUUGUAAAGCUCUUUUGUGCGGGAAGAUAAUGACGGUACCGCAAGAAUAAGCCCCGGCUAACUUCGUGCCAGCAGCCGCGGUAAUACGAAGGGGGCUAGCGUUGCUCGGAAUCACUGGGCGUAAAGGGUGCGUAGGCGGGUCUUUAAGUCAGGGGUGAAAUCCUGGAGCUCAACUCCAGAACUGCCUUUGAUACUGAAGAUCUUGAGUCCGGAAGAGGUGAGUGGAAUUGCGAGUGUAGAGGUGAAAUUCGUAGAUAUUCGCAAGAACACCAGUGGCGAAGGCGGCUCACUGGUCCGGAACUGACGCUGAGGUGCGAAAGCGUGGGUAGCAAACAGGAUUAGAUACCCUAGUAGUCC
rnacentral:rRNA from 1 species